GUGAGGAAUUUUCGGCAAUGGGGGCAACCCUGACCGAGCAACGCCGCGUGCAGGAAGACGGUCUUCGGAUUGUAAACUGCUUUUCCCAGGGAAGAGCGAGGACGGUACCUGGGGAAGAAGCCCCGGCUAACUACGUGCCAGCAGCCGCGGUAAUACGUAGGGGGCGAGUGUUGUCCGGAGUUACUGGGCGUAAAGCGCCCGCAGGCGGUCGCACAAGUUUGAGGUGACAGCGCUCGGCUUAACUGGGUGAGGGUUUCAAAGACUGUGUGACUGAGAGGGCCAGAGAGGGACACGGAAUUCCGGGUGUAGUGGUGAAAUGCGUAGAUAUCCGGAGGAACACCGAAGGCGAAGGCAGUGUCCUGGCUGGUGCCUGACGCUCGGGGGCGAAAGCUAGGGGAGCGAACGGGAUUAGAAACCCCAGUAGUCC
rnacentral:rRNA from 1 species